rnacentral:tRNA from 1 species
AGGCCGUUCGCCAAGCUGGUUAAGGCACCAGGUUUUGAUCCUGGCAUUUCGGUGGUUCUGAAUCCAUCACGGUCUGCCA